AUUGAACGCUGGCGGCAGGCCUAACCCAUGCAAGUCGAGCGGAUGAAGCGAGCUCGCUCCUGGAUUCAGCGGCGGACGGGCGAGUAAUGCCUAGGAACCUGCCUGGUAGUGGGGGAUAACGUCCGGAAACGGGCGCUAAUACCGCCUACGUCCUGCGGGAGACAGGGGCGGCUCUUCCGACCUCACGCUAUCAGCUGAGCCUAGGCCGGAUUAGCUAGUUGGUGGGGUAAAGGCCUACCAAGGCGACGAUCCGUAACUGGUCUGAGAGGAUGAUCAGUCACACUGGAACUUAGACACGGUCCCGACUCCUACGGGAGGCAGACGUGGGGAAUAUUGGACAAUGGGCGAAAGCCUGAUCCAGCCAUGCCGCGUGUGUGAAGAAGGUCUUCGGAGUGUAAAGCACUUUAAGUUGGGAGGAAGGGCAGUAAGUUAAUACCUUGCUGUUUUGACGUUACCAACAGAAUAAGCACCGGCUAACUUCGUG
rnacentral:rRNA from 1 species